GACGAACGCUGGCGGCGUGCCUAACACAUGCAAGUCGAACGGAAAUACGAUUUCGGUUGUAUUUUAGUGGCGAACGGGUGAGUAACGCGUGAGCAACCUGACCUUCAGAGGGGGAUAACAUUUGGAAACAGAUGCUAAUACCGCAUAAGACCACACCGCGACAUCGCGGAGCGGUCAAAGGAGCAAUCCGCUGAGGGAGGGGCUCGCGUCCCAUUAGAUAGAUGGCGGGGUAACGGCCCACCAUGUCGACGAUGGGUAGCCGAGCUGAGAGGCUGAUCGGCCACACUGGAACUGAGCCACGAUGCAGACUCCUACGGGAGGCGGCAGUGGGGAAUAUUGGGCAAUGGGCGCAAGCCUGACCCAGCAACGCCGCGUGAGGGAAGAAGGCUUUCGGGUUGUAAACCUCUAUCCUUGGUGACGAAACAAAUGACGGUAGCCAAGAAGGAAGCCCCGGCUAACUACGUGCCAGCCGCCGCGGUAAGAC
rnacentral:rRNA from 1 species